UGAAUACGAGACGCUAAGGCGUCGAAGUAGUGUAUGUCAUACUUCCAAGAAAAGCUUGCACUGUCAUAGAUAAAAAACGCCUGUACCAUAACCGACGCAGGUGGGUAGGUAGAGUAUACUAAGGGGCGCGAGAUAACUCUCUCUAAGGAACUCGGCAAAAUAACUCCGUAACUUCGGGAGAAGGAGUGCCUUAUUCGUAAGGUUGCAAUAACAAGAUCCAAGCAACUGUUUAUCAAAAACACAGGUCUCCGCUAAGUCGUAAGACGAUGUAUGGGGGCUGACGCCUGCCCAGUGCCAGAAGGUUAAAGAAGUUGGUUAGCAAUUGCGAAGCUGAUAACUGAAGCCCUGGUGAACGGCGGCCGUAACGAUAACGGUCCUAAGGUAGCGAAAUUCCUUGUCGGGUAAGUUCCGACCCGCACGAAAGGCGUAAUGAUUUGGAUACUGUCUCGGAGAGGGGCUCGGUGAAAUAGACUUGUCUGUGAAGAUGCGGACUACCUGCACCAGGACAGAAAGACCCUAUGAAGCUUUACUGUAACUUGAAAUUGAAAUUGGACUUUAUUCGCGCAGUAUAGGUGGGAGGCGUUGAUUAUAAUCUUGUGGGAUUAUUGGAGCCAUCAGUGAGAUACCACUCUUGUAAUGUUAGAUUUCUAACUUUGAAUCAUUAUCUGGUCAAAGAACAGUUUCAGGCGGGCAGUUUGACUGGGGCGGUCGCCUCCUAAACGGUAACGGAGGCGUACAAAGGUUUCCUCUGAACGGUUAGAAAUCGUAUCUAGAGUGUAAAGGCAUAAGGAAGCUUGACUGUGAGACCUACAAGUCGAGCAGGGACGAAAGUCGGUCUUAGUGAUCUGACGGUACUGAGUGGAAAGGCCGUCACUCAACGGAUAAAAGUUACUCUAGGAUAACAGGCUGAUCUCCCCCAAGAGUUCACAUCGACGGGGAGGUUUGGCACCUCGAUGUCGGCUCAUCGCAUCCUGGGGCGGUAGUACGUCCCAAGGGUUGGGCUGUUCGCCCAUGAAUCGGUACGCGAGCUGGGUUCAGAACGUCGUGAGACAGUUCGGUCCAUAUCCGGUGUAGGCGUUAGAAUAUUGAGAGGAGCCUUCUUUAGUACGAGAGGACCGAGAAGGACAUACCUCUGGUGUACCAGUUAUCGUGCCAACGGUAAACGCUGGGUAGCUAUGUAUGGAGUGGAUAACCGCUGAAAGCAUCUAAGUGGGAAGCCCACCUCAAGAUAAGUAUUCUC
rnacentral:rRNA from 1 species